rnacentral:misc_RNA from 1 species
AAGCUUGGACAGAGGUUUUGACGGAGUUGUGAACUGAUCUCUUGAUAAGAUCAAGCAGAGAACAUGAUUCACUUUGUCCUCCUUAUUAGUCGACAAGGAAAAGUGAGGUUGACCAAAUGGUAUUCGCCAUAUUCUCAGAAGGAAAGAAAUAAGGUUAUUCGUGAGCUAAGCGGAGUAAUUCUGACUCGAGGGCCUAAGCUUUGUAAUUUUGUUGAAUGGAGAGGAUACAAAGUUGUUUAUAAAAGAUAUGCUAGUCUUUAUUUCUGCAUGUGCAUUGAUCAGGAUGACAACGAAUUAGAGGUCCUUGAAAUAAUUCAUCAUUAUGUUGAGAUUUUGGACCGGUAUUUUGGCAGUGUCUGUGAGUUGGACUUGAUCUUCAACUUCCA